rnacentral:lncRNA from 1 species
CCUAUACUCCGGUGCAAGUAGUAGUUUUACGAAGGAAUCUAAUUCAUGAUUUAAAGUUUAUCAUUCAAUGACAAUUACAUUUAGGAUCAAAUAGUUGAUAAAAGUUCUAAUACAUAGGUUUUAGAUCAAGUUUGUUGAAUUCAAGUAAAUUCCUAAAUUACACUAUAAAUCCCCUUCUGUUUUUAGAAAUAUUUGUGCUGCAUAAAAGCAUAAAAGUUUAUAUAUU